rnacentral:rRNA from 1 species
CCUACGGGUGGCAGCAGUGGGGAAUAUUGCACAAUGGGGGGAACCCUGAUGCAGCGACGCCGCGUGGGUGAAGGAGGACUUCGGUACGUAAAGCCCUAUCAGCAGGAAAGAAAAUGACGGUACCUGACUAAUAAGCCCCGGCUAACAACUUGCCAGCAGCCGCGGUAAUACGUAGGGGGAACGCGUUAGCUGGUUUUACUGGGUGGAAAGUGAUCGUAGACGGAAGUGCAAGUCCGGAGUGAAAGCCCGGUGCUCAACCCUGGGACUGCUCUGGAUACUGUAAAGCUGGAGUGCGGGAGAGGAAGGCGGAAUUCCUGGUGUAGCGGUGAAAUGCGUAGAUAUAAGGAGGAACACCAGCGGCGAAGGCGGCCUGCUGGACCGUAACUGACGUUGAGGCUCGAAAGCGUGGGGAGCAAACAGGAUUAGAUACCCGAGUAGUC